CCACCACCUCAAAAUCCUAAGGGCACCAAGCAAUCAUCUUUCCAAAGAGGUCUAUAUUUUCAGACAUGACGUGUGUUACUGAUUGUGGAACAAAAUCCACUGUAUAAUUUCUGCGGUUGUCUAAAACUGACAAAGCAGCUGGGAGGAAAAACGUACUGGUUGCAGUUUCCCCAGAUUUUCUUUCAUCUAGCUCUGAGGAAUUCUUUUUCAGAGUAUACACAACACAAUCCAAAAAGAGGGGCUUUUUUGAAUGAAACAUGUUCUGUCUUAAGCAAGUUCUAAAGUGAUCCAAAUGUGAAGCUUUAGAAUCUGAUGAUACCUACUCCAUGGAGGCCUGACAGUAAGUCAUGUAAUACAUCGAUGAUUUUAUGGGUUUCUCUGUUAGUAAUUCCAGAUGGUGUGUCUGUGCUCUGGCUGUACACUCUACCUAAAUCAUCUCACUCAUAAUCAACAGAUAUCCAGAAGCACUUUAAUUGGAAACACUUAAUUUUACCAGUUAUUUGUAACUUUUAAUACAAUCUCAUUUAAGAACAUGGAGUCCCUUGCUUUUCAUAAUACUGAGCUCUUUUUCUGGAGAGCAGGUUUUGGAUGGAUAUGUGCUGCUUGAAUCAAUGUUGUUUUCUGAGAAUUUGUGUGUUCCAUAUAUUUGUG
rnacentral:lncRNA from 1 species